AGAUACUAAAAUGCCCUGCCAAAUAUCCCUGUCCCACCUGACCAAGGAGAAAGAGUAUCUGCUUCAGGUGUCUGAGUGCAUCAACACCCAUCAUUGUAGGAAAACUCCCACCCAAAAGGAAAGGGAGGGUCCUCACUGCUGACAAGGGAGAAAGCAAGGGUAUAAGAACCUUGUGGUGACUGGCUUUCAUCUUGGCCUUUGUGAAGAAAAGCUUUCAGGACUUUGUGGAGCUAGAUAGUGAGAGGCUCUGAAUAUGGACAGAGGCAGAAAGCACAUCCUUGAUGAGACAACAAGCUGCUUCCCAAAUGCUAAGCCUCAACUCUCAAGCACAGAAGACCUCUGAGCUCUGCAAGGUGCUGAGAGAUACCCCUGUACCAGCUCUCCAUCAUCAGUUUACAAAGCUGAGGGAAGUCUUACCUGAGGGAAAUGCUGCACAGGGACAGCAUCAAGGUAUUGCAAGGAACAAGUGUUUUGCAAACGGAGAUGUGGAAAAACACUGCUGCGGCUGUGAUGUCUGUCCCUCUGAUACGGAUGGCUCUACAAGGGAUGUCCUUGUGCAUGUGUGUGUCUCCAUUGGAGAAGCAAAGGGACAAAAAAACCUCUUUUAUCCUGCACAUGGUGCCUUUUGAUUGCCGACAUAAAGCAAGAACAUCAUCUUCUGGUGUUGGGCCCUUCUGAGUUAUGGAUUUCAACCUCUGCUGAGCUUUCUUGGUAGCACCAAGAACAUUUUGGUGAGGUCAGUGCUCCUGUUGCUGCCGACAGACAUAGGGGUCAUGGAGGUGGUCUUGCAGUGUGCAAAUCAGCCUUAGCGGUGUCUCAUUAAUUUCCACUGCUAAAUAGGAUUGGGGCCUGGGAGUCUGCAGCCUUGGCUCUUCCCUUCUUUGCACCAUGCUGAUCAGGAGCCACUUCACUGGAGUUACUGGUGACACCAACCUAAUAGUCACCCUGAGGGGAAAAUCUGGCCUUGUGAUUACUUUUCCUUAUUGAAUUCUUGAUUACUGGGUCAGGGAAUAUUUUGCAUCCCCAGGACCAGGGUGGUGCAUGGCAGAUCACUUGUGCCCCUCUAUCUGCCAGCCCAACUGAGGGAAGACACUGAAACCCCAAACUAAUUCUGCCUAUCUGGAAGAGCAGCUCCCUGCCAAUGAGAUUAAAAUAUCACUGGCACUACAUGUUCAUCCCUAGCAUAUUUCUUUUCUACCAGAAAAAUAUUCCCCUCUUGCCCUCUCAUCUCCUGGCUUCUCCUUUUUCCAGUCCCAUUACUGCUGGGAACACAGAAGCCCUGGCUGAGCCACCUCUGUGUCCUGCCAUUCCAACUUUGCACCAUUUCUUUGGGAGGUCUUAGCACUGAUUAGAAGUGAUAUAUCUUUGUAAAGGAGUGCCAUGGGGCUGCAAAGAGUCUGGCAUGCUGCAGGGGGGCUGUGGUGGGUGCCACCCAUGGAGGAUGCUGGCAGCACCCCACCAUGCCUGCAUGGAUGGGUGAAGCCUCAUGCAUGGCUACAAGGCUGUUUGGAAACCACAUGAAGUGCAAAAUAAGACCCUUUUCCACUCCCUUCAUGGGCUAGAGACAGACAAGCUGCUUUCUGGUACCCAUCAAGGCUGCCUCGUGCUGGUGCUGUGUGAACCAGAGAUGAACACGUUUUGGGGACAACCUCUGCACAUCAGCGUGACAGAACUGUCAGAGUAGUUUGCAGGAAGAGGAGCUUGGCCAAGGGGUGUUUGAUUUGUGCUAGCAAGAAGCGGAAGGUAUCAGUGCCUUCACAAAACAGAAGAGAGGGCAGCACGUGGGCAACUUGAAAACAUAGGAUUCCAGAGAUAGUCUGAACUGGGAAUUAACUUUUGAAAUCCUUUUUUCCCCUUCAGCCAUUCCCUCACUAACACAUUGACCCCAAAACACUGGCAAUACUCGAAAGGGUUGGCACAGCAGCACUUGAACACAACAAUCUGUUAUUUCAAAUUUAUGCCUUAGAGCAGCAAAGAUUCAGCAAAGCUUUUGAAGCAUCACAUAGACUUUUUCUCAAAUCUCUUUCUUCUGUUGGGAGGCUCUUGGGUGGGAGGGGGAGGCAAUAAUAAGGGUGGCUCACUUAGAUGCCAAGAGAGGCAGAUGCAUCAAUGCAGUUGGCAGAGUUUCUCUCCACUGUAAAAGGAAACUGCCCAAUGGAUGCAACACCAUCAUAGUGGUACAGAACAUCAGCCUUAUAGUGAUUGUGUAUUGUUAUGCGUUAAUAGCAUUAUCCCAAGGGCAGUGUUAAACAUAAAUAUAUGCAAGUAACUUGAGGUGACUCCUGUCACUGUCAGCAGCUGAAGGUAAAAUGUUUUAACCUGCAAGCGUAAGUUUGCAACCCUGGAAAACAGUGACCAGGAUAAUGCUCUGGUAUGCUUCCACAAUGGCAAGGGGGUCAAACAUUCAGAGCGAGAUUCAAAGAUGUAGGUACAACAACCUCAGACAUCAGCUUAAGUUCUCCCCUGGAGUUUCCUAAUGUUAUCUCUCCUGGAUGCUAACCUCAGCCGCUGCAUAUUUGCAUUUCUCUCAGUAUCUAGAGAAGUGGCCUGAGAAGUGAGGGAUGAGGCUGCUCUGUCCCAGAGCUGGACAUCCCAUCCUGCAUCAGUGCCCUCCUGCUCUGCACCACCCUGAUGUUGGUGCCCAACCCGAAAAGAGCCACUCGCCACUGGGCAAGAGGUGAACUUUGCAACAACCCCUUUCCUCUGAGAAGGCUGAAAGAGAUUUACAGCUCAGUUUAACCAAGGCUUUUGCUAUCAGUUGGCAGAACUUGCAGGCCUUUCCUGCCUGGCAGUUGCAGACAGGGAAUUGCUGAUAGCCAGUCUGAAAUCUGUCUCUUGCUCUGAGUCGACUCCAUAGCUACCUUGUCUGGUGCAGUUAUAAGCUCUGAGAGAUUUAUAUAUUUAAAAAAGGGGGAUGGGAGGGAGAAAACAGUUUGGCCUAACCUCAGGGUCCUAUGGGACUGUGAGAGGAAGCAAACUGGAACCCAUUUUCCUAUUUCUUUCUUGACCUUAUCCGCAAGCAGCCAGCCUAUCUGCAAGUGGCAACUGUGGAAAAUGUGCUCUGGCCACUUGGUGUGAAAGAUAGGCAAGACUCCUAAAAAAUCUUCUCCGCAGCUUAUCACCUUUCUGCUGGCUCCGCAGCAAACUAGUGCCCCACUGCAGAAGGAAACUGGCUGUCUGUAAGGCUGGACAGGGCCUCAUCAACAACUGAUAAGCUCCC